rnacentral:rRNA from 1 species
CCUACGGGUGGCAGCAGUCGGGAAUAUUGCGCAAUGGAGGAAACUCUGACGCAGUGACGCCGCGUAUAGGAAGAAGGUUUUCGGGUUGUAAAGCUCUGUCUUCAGGGACGAUAAUGACGGUACCUGAGGAGGAAGCCACGGCUAACUACGUGCCAGCAGCCGCGGUAAUACGUAGGUGGCGAGCGUUGUCCGGAUUUACUGGGCGUAAAGGGAGCGUAGGCGGACUUUUAAGUGAGAUGUGAAAUACUCGGGCUCAACUUGAGUGCUGCAUUUCAAACUGGAAGUCUAGAGUGCAGGAGAGGAGAAUGGAAUUCCUAGUGUAGCGGUGAAAUGCGUAGAGAUUAGGAAGAACACCAGUGGCGAAGGCGAUUCUCUGGACUGUAACUGACGCUGAGGCUCGAAAGCGUGGGGAGCAAACAGGAUUAGAUACCCGUGUAGUC